AUGGCCGGAGACCCGUCGCCGUCGCCGUCGCCGCCCGGAUCCCCCGCCAAGCACCGGCGCCGCCGGGAGCGCGACGACGCGGACCCCGCCCCCGACGCCUCCCCGAAGCGCCGCAGGCACCACCACCGCCACCACCACCGCCACCGCCGUCCGGACGACGCCCAGCCCCCGCCGCCCUCCGCGGCCGACGGAGAAGACGUCGAGGAGGGGGAGAUACUAGACGAUGCCGGCGCCGGCGCCGGCGGGGCUAUGGAAGUCGAUGGCGGCCCCCGCGGGGACGACCCCGCAUCUCCGCGAGCCGACCCGGAGCUAGUCGGUGAUCAUGCUGGCACCAACUCGGCCGUUGACGUGACGCAGCCUAGUCAUUCUCCGCCCUCAAAAGAUGAAGGCAGGUUGAAUCACACUGCUCGUGGCUCUGAAAGCGUAGGUAUCUUUUCAGGUGACGAGGAUAAUAAUGGUAAAGGACAUGAACAGAGUCACAGGGUGUCAAAGUCUCCACGGCCGACAAAGGACAGGGGAAGGAACCAUGAGGACGAGCGUCAAACUCUGUCCUCUAAUAACGAUUCUCAUCAGAGAGAUCACACCACCAAGAGAUCUCCUUCCUCCAGGAACCACAUUGAAGAGGUUCAUUCUAGGAAUCACCCAAGGUCCGGAGAAGCUGAUGCCAAAGCUAAUGGUUCGCGGGCAAGUCCAAGGGCUGACCCUGAUCGUGACAACAACGACAGGAAUGGUUUUGGUAGGCAUGCAACUAGGACACGGGAAGACGACAGAGAAAGGAGCAGCAGUCGUGUUGUUCGUGAUGGACAUAGUGAUAGGCGUGAUAGCCGGGAAAGAUAUAUGGAUGAAAGAAGGCACAGCAGCAUAGAUAGAGACAAUGUUGAUCGUAGGCACAGAGAAAGGAGCAGCAGUCAUAGUAGACCUGACAGAAGGGAGAGCGCACACCACACUCGUGAAGAAAGCAGGGAGAGGGAAAGGCGAAGUGGUAGCUCAAGGCAUAAAGACCAUCAUAAAAGGGAUACAAGCAAGGAUCGUUAUAAAGAUUAUGUCACGGUUGCUACUGGACAUGAAAGGGAUAAAGUGAGAGAUGAUAGAGACAGGGGCCGGCACAGGGAUAGAGAAAGUGAAACUCGUAGAAGUGGAGCUGGAGAACGCAAGGACAGAAUUAGCAGUAGUGAUAGACACAAGGACUCUACACGCUCGAAAUAUAGCACGUCUGAUGCUCAUAAAGACAGGUCAAGAUCUGGGGAGAAAGGUAGAGAUGUAGACAGCAGAAGCCAUCGAUCUAGAGAAGUGAAGGAACAUUCUUUCAAGGAGGAAGAUGAAGAAGAGUAUCAAGAGAAAAUUGAGCAACAGUUAGCAAUGCAGGAAGAAGAUGACCCUGAAAAAAUUAAGGAGGAAGCGAGGAGAAGGAAAGAAGCUAUUAUGGCGAAAUAUAGGCAGCAACAAGCACAGAAGCAGCAACCGGAAUCUUUACCUAGAAGCAAUGAUGAAGAAGCAAGAGCAGUGGAUAAAGAUGAGACUGUAGAUAUGAAAGGUGAUAAUGAUAGCAAUUCUACGGACAACGAGGAAGCUGAAAAUAAGCAGGACUCUUCAGAUGCAUUUGUUGGUGAGGCAGACUUCAAUGUGGGUAAGUCCCCUGCUCAUGAUGCUGUUUUAGCCUGUGCUGAAGCAUUGGGCAAUGAGGGGACAACAGGUGUUUCAGGCCUUGGAGAGGGUACUCCAAAGAGUGAGAGAUCGGCAGAUAUGUUUUGUGAUGACAUCUUUGGAGAGUCACCUGCAGGAUUUCGGAAAUUGGGCAAGGGAGACGGCUUGUGUAUUGAGAAAAAUGCUCUGCAUGAUAAUUGGGAUGAUCCUGAGGGUUACUAUACUCAUCGAUUUGGGGAAUUGUUGGAUGGCCGUUAUGAAAUUACAGCCGCGCAUGGGAAGGGGGUGUUCUCAACAGUCGUGCGGGCAAAGGAUCUUAAAGCUGGGAAAGAUGAUCCUGAAGUAGUUGCUAUUAAAAUUAUUCGCAAGAACGAGACAAUGUAUAAGGCUGGUAAGCAAGAGGUUUCAAUAUUAGAAAAAUUGGCAAGCGCGGAUCGUGAGGACAGGCGCCACUGCGUGCGGUUCAUUUCUAGUUUCAUGUACCGGAACCAUCUUUGCUUAGUUUUUGAAUCUUUAAAUAUGAAUCUCCGUGAGGUACUAAAGAAAUUUGGUCGCAAUAUUGGGCUUAAACUGACUGCUGUGAGGGCAUAUUCAAAGCAGCUUUUCAUCGCUCUGAAGCACCUGAAAAACUGCAAAGUUCUGCACUGUGAUAUAAAGCCAGACAAUAUGCUGGUGAAUGAUGCUAAGAAUGUCCUGAAGCUAUGCGAUUUUGGCAAUGCUAUGCUUGCUGGAAUGAAUGAGGUCACCCCUUAUCUUGUCAGCCGUUUCUAUCGGGCACCUGAGAUCAUUCUUGGGUUGCCCUAUGAUCACCCAUUGGACAUCUGGUCAGUCGGCUGCUGCCUAUAUGAACUUUCUACUGGAAAGGUCCUGUUUCCAGGUGCAACUAAUAAUGAUAUGCUUCGUCUUCAUAUGGAACUGAAGGGCCCCUUCCCUAAGAAGAUGCUCCGAAAGGGUGCUUUCACGAUGCAACACUUUGACCAAGAUCUCAAUUUUAACGCUAUUGAGGAAGAUCCUGUGACCAAAAAGCCUAUGAGGAAGUUGAUUCUUAACAUCAAACUGAAGGAUUUUGGUUCUUUGGUUUCAAAUUUUCCUGGCGAGGACCCAAAAAUGCUCUCCAAUUUUAAAGACCUUCUUGAAAAAAUAUUUGUCUUAGAUCCAGAUAAGAGGAUAACCGUAUCACAGGCACUUAGCCAUCCAUUUAUCACUGGCAAGUGA
rnacentral:rRNA from 1 species